GACGGGGGGGGGCAAGUGUUCUUCGGAAUUACUGGGCGUAAAGGGCGCGUAGGCGGCUUGGUCAGUCCCGUGUGAAAUCCCUCGGCUCAACUGAGGAACUGCACGGGAAACUGCCUGGCUUGAGUUCGGGAGAGGGAAGCGGAAUUCCGGGUGUAGCGGUGAAAUGCGUAGAUAUCCGGAGGAACACCGGUGGCGAAGGCGGCUUCCUGGACCGACACUGACGCUGAGGCGCGAAAGCUAGGGGAGCAAACGGG
rnacentral:rRNA from 1 species